GUGCUUUGUGGGGAUCCCUGAGGAUCCUGCUGGUGCUGGUCAGGAGCCUGCUCCUCUGUUGGCACCAUGUGGCUCCACAUGGCCACUUAGUCCGAGCUAAGGGGGCCCUUGCUAAGCAGCGGGCUCCCUAAGUGGGUUUCCUGCCUUGCUGCCAGGAGCCAGGUGGCUCUUGGCGAUUCUCAUGCACAGAAGACCAGGCUUGGCUGCCUUGGCCUGAUCUUGGCUAGGCGUGAGAACAGCCUCAAUAAAUGCUCCUAAAGAAACAAUGUGACUUUAGAGCUGUGAAGGGUCCUAAAAAAAACCAAGUGUUGCAUAUAUUCCCCCCUCCCCAAAUCAUUUUCUUCCGGGGGGAGGACAGGAAAAAAGUGUUUUUCCAUGACUUCAAAAUUUUUGGAAAUUUUACACCUCUACCCUUGUCCCCCACUUGGACAGUAUUUCUACUUUGCCAACCAUGCGAACCUUUCUAACACUUUAGGGCAAAAUUCAGGGAUCGAUAGAGCCACUUGCCUGGUCAUCUGUGGUAAGAAAGAACUGACAGUCUGUGACUAGGUGGAGAAGUUUUACAAAAGCUGGACUGAGAACGGAAUGGGAGGCUGUGUUGUUGUUUUGCACACAAAUGAUUAACAAGUAUAUAAAUAGGCAAUGGGGGGGAAAUCGGCUAGUGAUUUUUGUGGCCUAAUUUUGCAAGACUGGUGAAACUGAUUACUGGUGAAGACUAAUGCAAAAGAUUAUUAAAUUUAUUUCCUAUGUGGCUAGGCUGACUUACGACAGGAACAUUCUGGGAGGAAGUACUAACUGGGACUGAUGCGCCAAGAAUCCAUAUGAAAUUAUUUUCCUAGAAGGGGUACAAAAUGGUUUUGCCCAUAACACCUGGUAGAACAUAAGCACCAUUAAAAAGGAAUGAAUGUUUCCAAACUCAACUGGAUGUCAUAAGCAGGUCCAACGCUCACAACAUUGAAAGAACAUAUACAGUUCUAAGAGGAAAUACAAAGGCAUUCCAUCACGGUUUGGCAGUCUGUUCAACUUCGUACAAGGACAUCCAUCUACUCUCCACGCAGAUAAAAGAGUUCUGUCACCUACUUCAGAGACUGGAUUGAAAGGAAAACCAACAUUCUUAACGUCAAAAAACACAACUCUCUUUAAGGAAUCAAAAAUGUGCAAAGUGGCAGUGGCUGUCCAGAUCAGACAAUUUAAAAACAAAACAAAAGAAUGAAAGAAAAAAAAAUGUUUUUAAAAAUUAGCAAGUCUGCAGGUGUUCUAAUUUUUUUAUCAACUGCUGUUGCCUGACUUGCAAUUUUUCCUUUUCGAGCAAUAACUUGUGCUCCUCAGCCUGUAGGGAAUGAACACACUCAGUGGCUUUUUUCAAGAUGACAACUUUUGCUGCCUUUUCAUUUUUAACCAGUUCUGGCACAUGGUCCCUUAACGUAAGGAAACUUGACCUCAGAUCAUUACGCCGCUGGCGCUCCAGAAUGUUGUGGUUCCGUCGACGCUCACUGUCUUCCGAGUCAGAGUUUCGAGGACUGGAGCUCUUGGGCUUUGGCUGAGUCAUGGGCUUCAUUGGACGGGGUGCUUCAUUUUUUACCUUUUUCUGGGGUGGCGCAUCUUCACUUUCCAUAUAGGGAGAAGGUGCGGCAUAGUUAUGUUGCUGGUGGAUAGGGGCGCAGCGCUUUAGGAUGACUUCAUUUGGCUGAGUUCUCACAGAGGCAAAGGCAGUGGCAUUUUUAGGGCGCACCGUAAUAGUCAGAGUUGUAACAGCUUUGUUGGAUGAGGAGCGCCUCUUUUCCACCGUUACCACAUCUAUUUCUUCUUCAUCAUCCUCUUCUUCUUCGUCUUCAUCUUUGAAAAGAAAGAAAUAAAGAAACCCAAAAAGUUAUUCUCUCAGGCAAACAUACCAGAAGGCUCUGAAGCAUUUAGCAUUAAUUAGCAUAAUGUGUGCUAAAUAAAAGCAAUUCCCAGGGCAAAUGCCAAUGUAUAAAUAUUUAAGUGCUAAACAUAUGCAGUGCAGUCAGGAGAACAGCAUUUGAAGGUAAAAAGCAAGAUUUUAUACUCAAGCCUAACAGACUACAUUAAUUGUAGCCAGCACACCUUUAAUAAAGAGUGGUUAUACCUCCAUCUAAAAUACUGAAACGAAUGGGAUUCAAGCUACAUGAAAUAAAUGCAAUCACAAUCUAAAUAACCACAGAAGGGUGAAAUGUAUAUUAAAAAGAAACACCCUAAUUUGCAUUUCAAUCAACCAUUUUGUUCUUUUAAAUUACAUGGGCAAAAUGCACAGGCACAUAUACACCAACACACCUUGCUUGAUUGAAAAAGGGCUGGAAAACUGAACAAUCGUUGGAUUUGUUCUAACAGAGAAUGCAAAGCUGUUCCAGUUGGUAGGUCCCUUUAAGCCAAAGUUUUGGUUUACUGCCAAGAAGACAGCUGUUGGGAGGAAGUGCUCCCUCACUCAAAGCUGUCAGGAUGCAGACAUGAAGGGGGCAAUGAAGUCUUUUGAAACAGGAGGCUGAUCAUCAAGUUUAUGAUUAUGGUCAUAUGGAUCCACUCAUUUACAUAAGAGAAACUUUGUUUAUGACUAUACCAGAUUUUCUUCUCUUUUCCCUUAAGAGUGUAGAUUGUUCCCCUGACCUUAAAGCUAGCAUUCUACAUUUUGCUCUGCUGAGAUCAAAGAUGGAUAUUUGUCUGCUAGUCAUUGCAUAGCUGAAUUAUGAGGUCUUGUGAAAAUAGUCUGCCCCACCCCUCUGAAAAUAGUCUGCACAACAUUUUUUUUUUUUUUACAGGAACAGAGCCUUUGAGGGCAGCAGAAAUGGAAUAAACUUGCAUUGAGAUGUUUAGCAUAAGUGUAUAAAAUAAAGGAAUCUCUUCCUUUCA